UACAGAGGUCUCAAGCGUUGUUCGGAUUCAUUGGGCGUAAAGGGUGCGUAGGUGGCGAGGUAAGUCGGAUGUGAAAUCUCAGGGCUCAACCCUGAAACUGCAUUCGAUACUGCCUUGCUCGAGGACUGGAGAGGAGAUUGGAAUUCACGGUGUAGCAGUGAAAUGCGUAGAUAUCGUGAGGAAGACCAGUGGCGAAGGCGGAUCUCUGGACAGUUACUGACACUGAGGCUCGAAGGCCAGGGGAGCAAACGGG
rnacentral:rRNA from 1 species